GCUCGUCUCAAGCUUUUGUUCAUCUGUUUCCAGCCGCACCGCGGAGAACAGGAGCCAUUGCGACUCACUACGGUCUUCAUCAGCAAUCACGCUUGUGUUCUUAUUACCUCUUGCAGGACGUGGAUACUAAAAUAGUUUCACCGUCGGACGUUUGGUGUUUAAAUCUUCAUUUACUUACAAACUCAACAUGGAGAGCGAGAACAAAUACCUCCCGCAGCUGCUGGCGGAACGAGACACCCUGGACGCGUCGUUCACACACGCCACGAAACUUAUAUCCGCAGAAAUUGAAAGGGUUCAAAAUGGGGAGACCGAGAAAGAUACAGAAAGCUACCUGGACCUCUUUACGACGAAAAACAUCAAACUGAAGGAAAGGGUUCUCAUACCAGUCAAGCAGUACCCUAAGUUUAACUUUGUUGGAAAGAUCCUUGGACCACAGGGGAACACCAUCAAGAGACUGCAGGAGGAGACGGGCGCUAAGAUCUCUGUGCUGGGGAAAGGAUCCAUGAGGGACAAAACCAAGGAGGAUGGCUUGAGAAAAAGUGAAGAGCCGAAGUACGCACACUUGUCCAUGGAGCUUCAUGUGUUCAUUGAGGUGUUUGCUCCUGUUCCUGAGGCGUACAUGCGCAUGGCUCAUGCCAUGGAGGAGAUCAAAAAGUUCUUGUUCCCUGACAUGAUGGAUGACAUUUGCCAGGAGCAGUUCAUGGAGAUGAAGUAUCUAAAUGGAGGUCAGGAACAUGGGGGCAGAGGCCGAGGAGGGCCACCCAUCAGAGGGCGUGGAGGUCUUCCUCCUCCUGGGGCACCCAGGGGUCGUGGUAUGCCCCCACGUGGAGGUGGCCGUGGUGGUCCCCCUCGAGGUGGAGCCGCAAGGGGAGCUCCUGCAGGUAGAGGUGGACCAUCAGCCCAGCCGCCCAGAGGAGCAGCUUCCAACCGUGCCCGUCCACCCGCCCAGUCUCAGCGGAUGCCCCCUCCACCAGCCCCGCACCCUCCGGCCCAAGACUCAUACGAAGACUAUUCUUAUGACGAGAGCUACACAGAGCCAGGCUAUGAAUCCUAUGACAGCUACUACAGCCAGCCACAAGCAGAACCAGAGUACUAUGAUUAUGGACACGGAGAGACACAGGAGGGGUAUGAAAACUACGCUCAAGAUGACUGGAACGGGACACAGCGCGCUGUUGGUGGUGGAAAAGCUCCCACUCAGAGACCGACUAAGCCUGGAUUCAGGGAACCCCCUUAUGGACGAUACUAAGUCUGACUAGCGGAAAGUCACCCAACGCGUCGCCAUAACUGUCUCCCAUGGCAGCUCACACUUUAAGCUACCCGACAAAAGUUGUGAUGCCUGGAAAUUCCUGGAAAUGGAAAGUUUAAACAAGAAUAUCAGACCUCUCCUCAGGAAAAGACAAGUGUUUGUUUGCAGUGUAAGAGCAAUCUUACCUUUGAACACCAGCAGUCUUUAUGGAACCAUGGACGGUCUGACUGGACAGCUUCUGAAUGGGGUGGAAUGGCAGAAAUCGAUGGUACUGUCAGCUAAAGUUUAAACCAGCAACCUCUUAAAAGGGUUGAAAAGUCUUGAGGUCUGGUGCGGUGUAUAUCUGCUCUCCAGUGGUUAUGCAAAGUCAUUUCUCUACUGAAAAGUUUCCUUUUACUGUUCACCUCAAGUGCUUUCUAAGCACACUUAACUUUAAAUGUUCAUCUUUAAAUUGACCUCUUCUGCUCAUGUUGGCCAAGAAAUCAUUUUAACAAGCUCGGAAAAUUCUGUCCGAGCUCUCUAAACGUCUACCUCAGACAAUACUCCAGUGCUUUAUUCUGCAGGACAAGCAUGUCUUCCCCAGUUCCUCGCUCGGAGGAACGUACAUGCUAAUUUAGAGCUGUCCGGCUCCUAUCUCUUAGCAAAGACUUUGUCCUUUAAUUGCCAUGGUAAUUUUUGUCUUGCUCUUGAGAUAUGUUUGAAUGGGUUUAAGCUGCUGGAACUGUCUUGCAGUUUGCGUGAAUCACAAUUGAAAUUUCCAUCUCAUUAACCAAAUGCAAAAAACUCCAGGGGCUCGCAACAUAGUGCAGCUGUUGAUCUAAAUCAUACUAACAUUGUUACCUUAAGUUCUGGAUAAAGGUCUUUCUUGCCCUAAUUGAGAGCUUUCCAUAAAUUCAGCUUUUUCUAAUCCUUGCUGUGUAGAGUGUGAAUUUAGCACUGCAUGACUUUUGUGCAUGUGUAUGUUUCACUGUCAGUGUGUAUUGCUGUAGCUUUCAUCUUUUGCUCAUUUUUUUCACCCUUAGCACACGUACGAUUCGAGCACGUCAUUCUGACCAAUUACCACCGAUGACAGUGUGUCCGUCCCCCGCGGAGCCGCCACUGGUUGCCGACUGGCUAACAGGACUAAUGCCUUAUUGCAUUAGAGACAAAUCUGUCCUCUGCACAGAUUUUAAUAAGCAUCAGCCACUGCUCAAGUGGCGUCGAACAAUGGGUCCACGUGGUUAGGAGGUUGACCGAUGUGUAUGCAGGCUUCACUGUAAUGAGAAAUCGCAAAAGCAGAUAAUGGAAAUAUUUAUUUUCCGGACAGAUGCAAGGGGGUAAAGAGAACUGUCUCAAGGAGGUGGAAAUUUUCAACCCAACUGAGUGCACUAAAUGGGUCUGUUUACACAGUCAUAUCUGUUUGCGUUGGACAUACGUGGCCUACAGCUGCUAGGAAAAUGCCUCUAGGGUAAUGUGUAAGGCAUGUGUGGUGGUCUGAAACAACACAUUGUGCAUACUGAAAACAGAAAGCAUGGCUUUACGAAUGUAAAUGAAAUGCUCACACCAAUGUCUGUCUGUCUUGCAUGGCUAUUUUGUUAUUUUCACACCUAACCAGUACACACUCUCCAGGGAGUCAGGGUUUUGAGUGCAUGGGGAGGAGUUGUGAUGGUUUCUGGCUCAUGUCCUGGAGGAGAACCAUGGCUGCUGGCCACCUCCUUCAGUGUGAAAUGCUGGUAAUAACUUAGCCUCCUAAAGGUCUCUCUCAAUGUGCUUUGAUGAAAAUGAAUUAAAUCCAUCCAUGUGGAAUCUGGCUUGAGUAAUCCGUAGCCCUCCAGGACAAAGAGUUGGACACCUCCACCUUGGCUGUCGCUGAAGUAACAUUCCAUUGCAUGUUUUCCAGCAUCCACACAAGCAGACACGCCUAAAACAAUGUCGGGAAACCAUGGGAAUAUCUUGGGAUUAGUGAUGAAAUAGAUUAGUUAUGAGUGCCAGGAGUCUGUAUUUCAAUGCAGCUAAACUGGAUUUAAGCUUAUUGAAGUGCUCGUCUUUCAGCAUAGCUGUUGGCCUUAUUUGUGUAGAAGAAAACUAAUGCCUUUGGGGCUGUAGAACCCUUUCGGUGACUUGGGGGAGCGGACAGAAUUUUUCACUUUCGAAAGUUAUUCUAACUUGUUUGGAAGUUGGUGUAUCCAAGUGCGCGCACAGCCUGCACAUUACGUAUGACUACAAAGAGAAUACCUAAUAAACUUGCAUAUGUUUUACCUCUUUUGUAAUGUCAAAAAUAAAAAAUAAAUAAAUUCUAGACCUGG